rnacentral:lncRNA from 1 species
GGCCCGGGAGGUGGGGCCGGUUAGGGCGAGGGUCCCCGGGAUCGUAGUGUCAGGCCUUGGGCCAACGUAGGCACUCGCAGUUCCUCCGCCUUCAGGAAGGUCUUUUUGGCAGGGGCCUUACGGGUGCGCGCUUCGGUCCUGGAGGCGUUAUCCUAGCCUCCUCUCCAUCAGCGCCACCCGUCUGGGGCCCGAUAGGAGGGAGCUUUCUGUCUGUCCCCCAGCCUUUGGACUGUCACCAAACAAGCCAUCCGUUCACCAAAUACUUAUUAAGCGCCUACCAUGUGUCUGGCAAGGGAGGUGUAACAGUGAGAAAAACUAGGUGUGGUCCAGGCCCUCCAGGGGCUCAGGGGCUCGUGGAAGAAGUGGACAUUGAAGUACUUACCACACAAAUGAGCAUGAAAGUACAAUAGCAAUAUCUGCCACGAAGGCGAGCAGACAGAGCUAGCAGGGCUUCCAGGAGGAGUUUUGAUCUUGCAGGGACAGGAAGGAGGAGUUAGCUCCUGGGGGGCGGGAUUGGGGGUGGUGGUGAUAUAGACGUGGGGACAGAGUGGAAAACAACAAAAAUAUAAUUAUUUUAGUUCAAAGUUAUUGUGUCUUGAGUUGAAAGGCAGGGCAGUUAGCGACACGGUUCAGAUUUCAGUACUGCCCCUGAAAUCUGAAUUGUGUUCAAAGUCUAAAACGUUUACCUUAGCAAAUCCCUCAUAAAACUCCAUUUGGAAGAGUCCCGAGAGCUAAUUUGUUAAGUAUACUUGCAGAAGGUAGAUGAGGAGACAGAUUAAAUCUUAUUACCUCUUUCAGAUGAGAGGCACUUGAGCCCUGCUCAGCCGUGAGAAUAAGAGGGGGAAUUAAUUCUAAUUGAAUACACUUGUUCUCUCACAGCUGUUGUUCCCCACCAGAACCAAAUGAGCGCAAGAUCUGACAAAGAAAAAAAAAGUCCCUGUAUCCUCAGAUGGAGUCACCUGAGAAUCCACAGCAAGUCCUAACCGGGGAUGGGUCUGGGUGGUUAAGGAAGGUUGGCCUCAGAACUGGGCCAGGGGCACUGCUUUGCUUUUGCUGUUUUGAUCAGCUCUCUGCCCGCAGGAGACAAGGAAAACCAAUGGGAACAGCCCAGUAAAGGCGCCAUUCCCCAUUUUACAGCUGGGGAAACUGAGUUACAGAGCUUGUCUACACUGAGUCAACAGGAGCAAAUGCUAGAUCAGGUCUAGCUGGAGUACAGUGAUGCAGUCAUAGCCCACUGCAGC